rnacentral:rRNA from 1 species
UGAUACUAAGCCAUGCGAGUCAUUGUAGUAAUACAAGGCAGACGGCUCAGUAACGCGUAGUCAAUCUACCCUAUGGACGGGAAUAACCUCGGGAAACUGAGAAUAAUACCCGAUAGAACACUAUGCCUGGAAUGGUUUGUGUUCCAAAUGAUUUAUCGCCGUAGGAUGGGACUGCGGCCUAUCAGUUUGUUGGUGAGGUAAUGGCCCACCAAGACUAUUACAGGUACGGGCUCUGAGAGGAGUAGCCCGGAGAUGGGUACUGAGACACGGACCCAGGCCCUAUGGGGCGCAGCAGGCGAGAAAACUUUGCAAUGUGCGAAAGCACGACAAGGUUAAUCCGAGUGGUUUCUGCUAAAGAAACCUUUUGUCGGUCCUAGAAACACCGAUGAAUAAGGGGUGGGCAAGUUCUGGUGUCAGCCGCCGCGGUAAAACCAGCACCUCAAGUGGUCAGGAUGAUUAUUGGGCCUAAAGCAUCCGUAGCCCGCUUUGUUAGUUUUCGGUUAAAUCUGUGCGCUUAACGUACAGGCUGCCGGAAAUACUGCAAAGCUAGGGAGUGGGAGAGGUAGACGGUACUCGGUAGGAAGGGGUAAAAUCCUUUGAUCUAUUGAUGACCACCUGUGGCGAAGGCGGUCUACCAGAACACGUCCGACGGUGAGGGAUGAAAGCUGGGGGAGCAAACCGGAUUAGAUACCCGGGUAGUCCCAGCUGUAAACUAUGCAAACUCAGUGAUGCAUUGGCUUGUGGCCAAUGCAGUGCUGCAGGGAAGCCGUUAAGUUUGCCGCCUGGGAAGUACGUACGCAAGUAUGAAACUUAAAGGAAUUGGCGGGGGAGCAC